rnacentral:lncRNA from 1 species
GGCUGACGACAGCACUCCGUGGAAGGGCCUAGAGGCUUCCGUCCUGGGCUGCUGGACAAGUGGGUGACGUUGAUCAAGGCACUGGGCUCACACGGGCCGCGCCCCGCGUGAUCUGUUGUCUCCAGGCAGACUGCCUCACUUGGGGCGAUUCUUUGAUCCCGUGAGUUAAGAAUGACCAUGGUGGUGGCUGACUCCGGGUCUCAGGGUCAUCCUGGGGGCCAGUGCUUCCUAUAUGGCAAGCCAGGGACUGAAACUUACGAUUUGACUGGACAAUCUAUAAGGUACCAUAAUACAGUCUCCACUUGACUGAUGAGAAAAUAAAGACCUGGCAAGUCCAGGGCUUGCUCAAA